GAAUCGCAUGGUUUGUGGUGGAAAGGUUUACUGGUGCGAGAUGGGCCCGCGGCCUAUCAGCUUGGGAAAUGUGGGGUAACGGCCUACCAAGGCGACGACGGGUAGCCGGGGCUCCUGAGAGGGCGACCGGCCACACUGGGACUGAGACACGGCCCAGACUCCUACGGGAGGCAGCAGUGGGGAAUAUUGCACAAUGGGCGAAAGCCUGAUGCAGCGACGCCGCGUGAGGGAUGACGGCCUUCGGGUUGUAAACCUCUUUCGACAGGGACGAAGCGCAAGUGACGGUACCUGUAGAAGAAGCACCGGCCAACUACGUGCCAGCAGCCGCGGUAAUACGUAGGGUGCGAGCGUUGUCCGGAAUUACUGGGCGUAAAGAGCUUGUAGGCGGUCUGUCGCGUCGAUCGUGAAAACGUGCAGCUCAACUGCGCGCCUGCGGUCGAUACGGGCAGACUAGAGUACUUCAGGGGAGACUGGAAUUCCUGGUGUAGCGGUGAAAUGCGCAGAUAUCAGGAGGAACACCGGUGGCGAAGGCGGGUCUCUGGGAAGUAACUGACGCUGAGAAGCGAAAGCGUGGGUAGCGAACAGGAUUAGAUACCCUGGUAGUCCACGCCGUAAACGGUGGGUACUAGGUGUGGGUUUCCUUCCACGGGAUCCGUGCCGUAGCUAACGCAUUAAGUACCCCGCCUGGGGAGUACGGCCGCAAGGCUAAAACUCAAAGGAAUUGACGGGGGCCCGCACAAGCGGCGGAGCAUGUGGAUUAAUUCGAUGCAACGCGAAGAACCUUACCUGGGUUUGACAUACACCGGAAAGCCGUAGAGAUACGGCCCCCCUUGUGGUCGGUGUACAGGUGGUGCAUGGCUGUCGUCAGCUCGUGUCGUGAGAU
rnacentral:rRNA from 1 species